UACGGAGGGUGCUAGCGUUGUUCGGAAUCACUGGGCGUAAAGGGCGCGUAGGCGGCCUUGCAAGUCGGUUGGUGAAAGCCCGGGGCUCAACCCCGGAGGUGCGGCCGAGACUGCAGGGCUGGAGGCCGGAGGAGGAGGGUGGAAUACCCAGUGUAGAGGUGAAAUUCGUAGAUAUUCGCAAGAACACCAGUGGCGAAGGCGGCUCACUGGCCCGAUACUGACGCUGAGGCACGAAAGCGUGGGGAGCAAACAGG
rnacentral:rRNA from 1 species